UCAGGUGGAACUUCAGUGUUGGUGAGAACCAGCUCACUGUGUUAAAGGGCUUGAUGGCCAGUUGCACUGGAAGCAGCAGCGAGAGUAGUGACACAGACUCCUAUGUGGUGGAAGAGCCAUCAAAUUGCUCGAGUGAGGAAGGCUGCUCUAAGGAGAGCCUUAUUCAAGUGGUGGUGCCAGAGGGCCUGGUUGCUGCCACCAGUACAAGCAAGGGAUCACUGGAAUGGUCUGUCAAGCUUCCCAGCCCAGUUGUUGGAGCAUGGCAUCUACGAAAUGGAGAGUUGGAAGUAGUUGACCUCUUUGAGCAUAGUCGCAUCCUCGGUCUGGACGGCCCUAACCAAAGCAAACAAAA